UACAGAGGGGGCAAGCGUUAUUCGGAAUUACUGGGCGUAAAGGGCGCGUAGGCGGACAGUUUAGUCAGAGGUGAAAGCCCAGGGCUCAACCUUGGAAUUGCCUUUGAUACUGACUGUCUUGAGUUCGGGAGAGGUGAGUGGAAUGCCGAGUGUAGAGGUGAAAUUCGUAGAUAUUCGGCGGAACACCAGUGGCGAAGGCGACUCACUGGCCCGAUACUGACGCUGAGGCGCGAAAGCAUGGGGAGCAAACAGG
rnacentral:rRNA from 1 species